CAGCCGCCACGGGAAUACGGAGGGUGCAAGCGUUAAUCGGAAUUACUGGGCGUAAAGCGCACGCAGGCGGUUUGUUAAGUCAGAUGUGAAAUCCCCGAGCUUAACUUGGGAACUGCAUUUGAAACUGGCAAGCUAGAGUCUUGUAGAGGGGGGUAGAAUUCCAGGUGUAGCGGUGAAAUGCGUAGAGAUCUGGAGGAAUACCGGUGGCGAAGGCGGCCCCCUGGACAAAGACUGACGCUCAGGUGCGAAAGCGUGGGGAGCAAACAGGAUUAGAUACCCCAGUAGUCCCUGUCUCUUAUAA
rnacentral:rRNA from 1 species